rnacentral:sRNA from 1 species
AUUUUGCAGGUAGUGUUCUCUCUUUCCACCAUUUGGGUCCCAGCAAUGGAACUCAGUUGAUCAGGCUUCGCAUGCCUUUACCAGACAAACCAGUUCAAAUCUGCCAUCUGAACUGCAGAGCUCUGUGAGGAUCACCUGAGGAACUUGCGGAGUGUGAGAAGGAGAAGAUCCCUCCUCUCACUUACCAGUGUGGCAAUGCUAGUGAAGGGAGUUAAGCAUACUUUCCACAGAGCAUUUGAAUAUUUAGUAUGGUUAUCGGAACUCCAGUGAGUAUUGGAAUAAAGUUAAAUAAACAGCCCGUAACACAGCAUGUCACUGGAACAAGGGUGAAGAUGACUCUAACUCCUGCUUUCUGGGAGACCCGAGCAAACUCUAUGACAUAGAGAGCUAACAUAAACAUGUUUGCUUUACUGCUUCAUCUGAAGCUCUACCACUCCACAGUUAUUUUGCUCUCAGACAUUUUUUUGACAAUGAUUUUUAUUAAAUUCUCAAGGUUUUCUUGUUUUUCCUCCUUUUUAUAAUGGCAAUUAGUCUACAAUGGGUAAUGCCCUUAAACAGUUUCUGGAAAUCUGAUCACUUAAAGAGUAACAUUUAGGUUACUUAAGGAGUAACAUUUAGGUUACUUAAGGAGUUAACACUUAAGUUACUUAAGGAGUAACAUUUAGGUUACUUAAGGAGUGACAUUUAGGUUACUUAAGGAGUGACAUUUAGGUUACUUAAGGAGUUAACACUUAAGUUAUUUAAGGAGUAACAUUUAGGUUACUUAAGGAGUUAAUACUUAAGUUACUUAAGGAGUAACAUUUAGGUUACUUAAGGAGUAACAUUUAGGUUACUUAAGGAGUGACAUUUAGGUUACUUAAGGAGUUAACACUUAAGUUACUUAAGGAGUAACAUUUAGGUUACUUAAGGAGUGACAUUAAGCAGAAACUAGCAAUUAUCACUUCUCCUUUUAAUAUUUCAGAGGGCCAAGGAGCCACUGAGGGGAAGUAGAGGAGUUAAUGCACGACUGUGCAAACUUAGCAAGCUUCACAUGAGGCUGUGGACGCUGGAGCAAUGGCAACACCAGCUUUGAGAACGACCCUAGAAUGUCUCUAAUCAUCAUAGUUCUCAUCUGAAAAUGGAGAGGAAAGGAAUCUAGUGACUGAGGUCAUGGGAGAGGUCUUGCCUGUCUUCAGUUGCCAUGCCUAAGAAGGGCUGGCUAAUUCGACAAACUUACUACCAAAUCUAACACAACCACAAUAGAAAGGCUGACAUAAUAUAUGUGGGUCUCUAUGAAUUUCAGAGCACACAUCACAGUAAGAAUGAACAGUAAUGGACAGCAAGAGGGCUCAGUGGGGAAAGGCACCAGGUUCGAAGCCUGAUGACCUGAGUCUAAUCCCCAGAACCUACACUGUUGACUAAAAGAAUUGAUUCUGGCAAACUGUCUUCCCAUCACCAUACAGACUUGUGUGUGCCCAUGCAUGGAUGCAUUAAUUAAUUAACAUAUAUAAUAAUUAAUUAAUAAUUUUGAAAGGAAUGGACAUUAAGGAUAAGUAGGAGCAGAGCCUUUUUAAUAAUGAAGGCCCAAAAUUCUGAGAAACUAAAAACACAAGCAGCAAAGUGUAAGGUUUUUCUCCUAAAAUGUGUUUGAAGAUACCUUAACUCAUCGCUCAGAAGCUCAGGCUUAGCUAAAGAAGAGGCGUUGUUUCCUCCAUAUGCAUGUUCCUCUAAUCCCUGACAGACAGGCUCACCUUCUUGGCCUCCCUUCGGAUGGCCUAGCCUCCUCUCCUGGCUUCCCUGUCCCUGUUGGCUUGCUGUUGGCCAGGCGAGGCUGGAAAUAAUGUGGUCUUUCUAGUGAGAUCUGUUUCCCCGCCCCCACCACACAAGAGGAAGCCAAGAUGUGAACGCGGCCACUCAUAAUGAUUUCACUGGGCUGAAUGAAAUUUUCAUCACAACCUGCUGCUCAUUUUAGUGCCCUUUGAGAAACAAUGGACAAAGAUCCAGAGGAGAGAGAAGGAUCCAUUCUGUGGUAUCUGUCUGUGCACUUAGCACUUAACUCCGUCCCCUCUCUGCCUCCCGUGCCUUCCCACAGCUUCUCUCUCCAUGGAGCUGCAUCAUGGGCUUGUUGAUGGUUUUCCCACCAGCACGUUUUACAUUUUCCCCUUCAGACUGAUUACUGAAAAUUUUAUCUUUUGGAUGCCAGGUAAUAAGAGAGCCUCAGCUCAGAUGUACAUACUCUGCCUGCCACCAUAGUCCCUGUACAUCAAUGGGAAGGCAGGUUUGAGUGGCUGGUCUCAGGACUACCCAAUACCCUUUGAUCAGUGAUGUCUUGAAGGCCAACAGAGCUUCCAGUUACUUCAAAACCUCCCAUCCCCUAAGAUAAAAUUCUGCAUGCCUUUCUCUUUGAAAUUUAUUAUUUUUCUUUCUGAAUAAGAACAUGGCUUUUUUUUACUCUGAUAUAAAUUACUUCUUUAUAGGUCCGUGAAUUGUUUUGGUCACUAAAUACUCAUUCUUGAAAGAAACAUAGAGUCUCAUAUCUGUGAUCCCAGCAGUCAGGGUACAGAGGCAGGAGUAUCGUCAGGAAUUUGAGGCCAGCCUAGGCUACAUACUGAGUCCUGAGCAAACAUAGGCUACAGUAUGAGACCAUGUCUUAAAGCAACACAUGAAGUAUUUUAAAAUGCAUAUAUAUUGUUACCAGGGAAAAUUAUUAGUAUGAGUAGGUCUAUGAUUUUAGAUAUUCAGAGCAGACUCUGCAUACCUUGAAUAUGUGGGUGUAAGGUUGUUCGUGCUCUGUCAUUCAGAGAUUGUUUCUGAAACUCAAGAGAGGAGAUGAAGGUCUAUGUAUAUGUAUGCUAUUCUGUAUGCAUAUGUGUGUAUGCAUGAAUGUAGCACAUGUGUGUGUAUGAGAGAGAAACAGGCUUGCAUGUGUGCACAUGCACAGAGGCCAAAAGAAGACACUCUCAUACUCUGUCCCAAUUCCUUUGAGAUACAAGCUAGGCUGGUAACCCACUACACUACUGGAAUCCUCUUUUCCCUGUCCCAUACAGGGCAUACAUGGGAUUACAGGCAUUGCAUAAUGGCAUUGUGUCCAUCCCUGACUUGAAGGAAGAAGUGGUAGGCUAUCAAGUUUGCACAACAAGAGCAAGUGCUCUCCCCAGCCGAGCUGCCUCUCUUGCCCACACUCCGAUUUUCCGAUUCUUGCCUUGUUCAGUAUACAUUCUCUCUGAUCUUAUUUUAUUUAAUAACACAAUCCUUUUUACCUGAACAUUUAUGCAUUCUAAGAGGAAGGUGUUCUUUAAAGUCCAUUACUGAUGGAGAUGUACUAAGAACGACCCUCAGAACUUCAUAGGCAAUAAUGAUUUUUCCUUGUGCUUCCUUCCUUCUGUGACUGUCAUCCUUGUUAUUCUUUCAUCAAGUACUUGUGGGUACCACCUACUGCUGUCUUUCCAACUGAGAAACAUUCAAUGAGUUUAGAUUUGGUCUGCCAUUACCUCCAAGUUAAGAGUUUAUACAUCUCCUCUUGGUCAACCCAAUACAGCAGAGCAAUGGCAUCAUACUCAAAAUUUUUAACAGUACCAUCCAAAGAGAACCCCCAGAUCUCUUUGGAAUAGAAUAUACAGAACAAACACAGGGGCCCUUAUUCCUUAUCCUUGAAUUCAGAACAUAUCCAACACUGUGAUUUUAAAUUAACAUGUGAGGGGAAAUACUUUACGACUCCUUCUAUGAAGUCAGCAUCAAAAUCAGAGACAUACAUUAUUCAGAAGAAAGGUAUGAAAUAAUUGACCCAGGGUCCUGAAUGUAAACAUCUCCAAGAAAGUCUGAGCCAGUCAAAUCCCAAUGUAGAUCAAAAGAACUAUGAAGUGUUCCCAGUGGGAUUUAUCACGAGCUUGCUCGGUAGGUCAAUGUCUGAAAAUCUCUUUGGGAAUGUAAAGAUUAGUGAUUGCGUGCGUUAUAUUAGUAGGUAAUAAAGAUCACUCCCUGUAUGUAUUAUGUUAAUAGGUAAAAUUCUAAAUUCAUAGAAAACCAGAGCAAAGAAGAUAGUAGGUACUGAUGGCAUCACCCAGGAAAGCCUACAGUAAACUUCCUGUGUCAUGGUGGGUCAAGAACCCUGGCCCUUACAAUAAAGAACACAGCGAUGGUACCAUAUCCUCUCCUCCUACUCUUAAUCAAUAUCCCACUGGAAGCCUUGACAUGUAAGAAGGAAGAAAAUAAUAAAACCUGAAUUGAGGGAUGGAAUAAAUGAAACUGUCAGUUUGUGAAUGACAUGCUUGUCCAUGUAGAUCAUCUCACAGAGUCAACAAAACCUGCCACAACUGAACCCGGACCCACGGGUUCUGAGGACAGUACACAUAAUUUCUACGUAUUACCAGCCAGCAGGUAACAUUUUGAAAUUAGCGAUGGUAUAAUUCUUGUUUGUCUUUUAAUUUCACCUAAAAAGGCAGUACACAAACAUAGAUGUAAUGGAGUACAUCUAAGUUAUGUAUGUGGAAACCGUGUAAGAGCCACAUUUUCAAUAGCUGAGAAAGAGUUUUUGUUUGUUUGUUUGUUUGUUUGUUUGUUUGUUUGUUUGUUUGUUUGUGGAUGAGAACAGCCAUGGCUUCUUUAUAAUGUAGUCUAAAGGCAAAACACAUUCACAGUCAUAUCAACAAUAUUUCUUGGAUAUAGACAAACUGAUUUGUGGGGAAAGUCAGUAGACUCAGACUGACCCAUAAAAUCCUAAAGAAAGGAAAAACCUGGAAGAGCGAUAUGACCCAAAACAAGACUUCUUGUCAAGCAGAGCUGCACUCAUGAAGACAGCACUAAUAUCCAGGCAAGGGACGUGCGAUGAUUUGAUGGGACAGAGCUCAGAGGGCACCAAUAAAUGUUCAUCCAGUCACCUUUGCAAAGGAG